UACGGGGGGGGGCAAGCGUUGUUCGGAAUUACUGGGCGUAAAGGGCUUGUAGGUGGCCAACUAAGUCAGACGUGAAAUCCCUCAGCUUAACUGGGGAACUGCGUCUGAUACUGGAUGGCUUGAGUUUGGGAGAGGGACGCGGAAUUCCAGGUGUAGCGGUGAAAUGCGUAGAUAUCUGGAGGAACACCGGUGGCGAAGGCGGCGUCCUGGACCAAUACUGACACUGAAAAGCGAAAGCCAGGGGAGCAAACGGG
rnacentral:rRNA from 1 species